AAUAUUUGGAAGGUUUAAAUUACAAAUUCCACUUUUUUAAUAGAUACAGAAUUAAAUUUACUAUUGAAUAAAUGGACCUACGCAGUUCAGACCCAAGUGAUUUGGGGUCAACUGUAAUGAGUACAGAGGAAUCACAGAAGUAACUGAAAAUGCUGGGAUUUAAAUCAUGAUGGGAAAGACUCAUUAUGUGAUACUUUCUGUGCCGUUUUCUGGUAUGUCACACACUCCUGGAAAUACAUAAGAAUUCAGAAAUUGGCUAAUAAGCAUCAAAUAAUUUAAUCUUCAAACGUGUGGGUUUUUCUUCAGCAGUUUCUUCUUUCUCAGAUACAUAUGCAGAAAUGCAGGCAAUUCAGGCAGAUGUAACAGGUUAGAAAUGAGAAAGCCCCCAAUUUCCCACCUGAUUUUAAAGUCAAGAACUUGACAUGUAAUUUAACUUCUUAAAGUGCAGACCCCUCCACUGCUUUGGCUGCAUCUCGGGCCACCCCCCUCGGGCCCCGCCACCUCGAGGAGCAAGCCCGCCUUUUCCUCCACUGCUGGCACCACAUGACACGGAACCUACAUCCUGUGGGCAUCUGCUCGAUGACCUCGUGCCGAGUUCGCCUCAGUCAUUUCUUACUGCCCCAGUAUGUUUGAUUCCCAGUACUCCUGCCACAUUGCCGGAAAAUGGAAUGAACUUUGAGUCAUUUAGAAGAGAACAAGCAGCUAUUUGGAAAAAGCCAAGACAAAAGCUCAUCUACCUUGCCUGCUUCAUUAUUUAAGAUCCCAAAAGGUGAGUUUCACUUUGUGUUUAUUUCAUGAAGGUUAUAAAAUUUGCUGUGGGAAACUGGGUGUUACUAAUUGUGGCAGAUAUAUCAAGAAAUCAAACAUUCCUUUAUAAAAAGCACUUGACAAAGGAUAAACCAGGAAUAAGUUGAAGAAUUAUCUAUUUCUUCUUGAGUAAGGUUGGCAGUUUGGUUCUUUCAAGAAAAUUUUUCCAUUUUAUCUAAGUGGUUAAAUUUAUUUACAUAAAGUUCCCAAUAUUCCCUUAUCUGUUUAAUAACUGUGGUGAUGUCAUCUCUGCCAUUCCAGAUAUUGGUAACUUGUAUGUUAUCUCUUUUUUUUUCCAUAUUGUCUGAAGAUGUAUUGGUUUUAUUGACCUGCUUUUGUCUUUUCUGUUUCCUACUGAUUUCUUUAUUUCCAUUUUUAUGGUAACUGGGUUUCAUUGCUCUUCAUUUUCUAAUUUGUUAAGGUGGAAAUUGAAGUCAUUGAUUUGAGAGUUUUAUUUUCCAACUUAGUAAUAUUAUGUUUCCUUCUAAGUAAUGUGUUAGCUGCAUUCCACAUAUUUUGAUAUGCUGUGUUACAAGUUUCAUUCAAUUAAAAAUACUUUCUGUUUUGCCUUUUGAUUUCUCUUUUAACCCAUGGGUUACUAAAAAUUGUGCUAUUUAGAUCCAAAUAUUUGGGGGAUUUUACAAUUAUCUUUCUAUUAUUGAUUUCUAACUUAAUCCAUUCUAGUUAGAAAACAUUUUGUAUGAAUUGAAUCCUUUUAAAUUUAUUGAGAUGUGUUUUAAGGCCCGGAAUAUUGUCUAUCUUGGUAAAUGUUCUGGGUGCAUUUAAAAAGAAUGCAUAUUCUACUGUUCUUGGGUGGAGUGUUUUUUAAAUGUCAACUAGAUCAAGUUGGCUGAUGGUGUUGUGCAAGUCUUCAGUGCCCUUACUGAUUUUCAGUCAACUUGUUCUUUGGGAGAUGCAUGUCAAAAUCUAUUAUAAUUGUGGAUUUGUCAAUUUUUUUAAAUUGAAGUAUAGUUGAUUUACAGUGUUGUGUUAGUUUCAGAUGUACAGUGGAGUGAUUUACUUUUAUAUAUAUAUAUGUGUGUGUAUAUAUAUAUAUAUAUAUGUUUUUCAGAUUCUUUUUCAUUAUAGGUUAUUACAAGAUAUUGAAUAUAGUUUCCUGUGCUAUACAGUAGGUCAUUGUUGUUUAUUUUAUAUAUAAUAGUGUGUAUCUCUUAAUCCCAAGCUCCUAAUUUAUUCCCUCCCCCCACCUUUCCCCUUUUGUAACCAUAGUUUGUUUUCUGUAUCUGUGAGUCUAUUGCUGUUUUGUAAAUAAGUUCAUUUGUAUCAGUAUCAUUUUUUUUAGAUUCCACAUAUAAGCAAUAUCAUUUGAUAUCUGUCUUUCUCUGUCUGACUUACUUCACUUAAUAUAAUCUCUGGGUCCUCCAUGUUGCUGCAAAUGGCAUUAUUUUAUUUUUUUAUGGCUGAGUAGUAUUCCAUUGUACAUAUAUACCACAUCUUUUUUAUCCAUUCAUCUUUUGAGGGACAUUUAGGUUGUUUCCAUGUCUUAGCUAUUGUAAAUAGUGCUGCAGUGAACAUUGUCGUGCAUGUAUCAUUUCAAA
ensembl:lncRNA